GGAGGGGUGCCGGAGUGGUCGAACGGGGCGGUCUCGAAAACCGUUGUGCCCUAUGGGUACCGUGGGUUCAAAUCCCACCCCCUCCGCCA
rnacentral:tRNA from 1 species